UACGGAGGGGGCUAGCGUUGUUCGGAAUUACUGGGCGUAAAGCGCGCGUAGGCGGACCUGCAAGUCGGGGGUGAAAGCCCGAGGCUCAACCUCGGAACUGCCUUCGAUACUGCGGGUCUCGAGUCCGGGAGAGGUGAGUGGAAUUCCUAGUGUAGAGGUGAAAUUCGUAGAUAUUAGGAAGAACACCAGUGGCGAAGGCGGCUCACUGGCCCGGUACUGACGCUGAGGUGCGAAAGCGUGCGGAGCAAACAGG
rnacentral:rRNA from 1 species